GUCCGACCAAAACGGAUGACCGCAAUAAUAUCACAUGUCCACCUCAUCCUAGAGUAUCCCAUCCACAAAGCUAACAUCGCACCACGUGGCACGCACCCAUCAAACCUCGGACAAACGUGAAUAAAUAAACCAGUUUUUGCUCACUGAAAAAAAAAAACUUCCAGUUACCAACGCUGACAGCUCUUCACUGUUCCCCCUAUUAUGUAUUUUUAGCUCAAAGAAAUGUUUGCUUUUUUGUUAUCAAUGUUGAUGCGUAUUUGCUUCGGUUAAUGGAUUAUGUGUUCUUCGACAUUGGCUGAUUUCAGAAGCCGGGAUUGGGUUCUUCUCAUUGUAUAGGGUAGUUUUUGUUAGGAUUGAGGAAUCAAUAGAGCCGAAUUACCGCCCAACUGCAGUGGUUUACUGUAAAGUUAGGAGGAAUAACGGGAUGGAACCUGUAUGCGAUUUUUGUCGAGGGGAAAGAGCAGUGGUUUACUGUAAAUCGGAUUCGGCUCGGCUUUGCUUGAGCUGUGAUGGGUGCGUUCACUCUGCAAAUUUGUUGUCAUGUAGACACGUUCGUUCACUUUUGUGUGAGAAAUGCAAUUCUCAAUCAGCAGUUGUUAGGUGUUUGGAUGAGAAAUUGUCUCUUUGUCAGGAUUGUGAUGGUAAUGGCAAUGGUUGCUCGAGUUUGGGGCAUUGGCGAGAGGCCCUCAAUUCUUAUACGGAUUGUCCUUCUUUGGCCGAGUUUAGAAGAAUCUGGUCUUCGGUUCUUGGUGCUUCGUCUCCUGCUGUUUUUGAUGUUGAUUGGCCAGUCGGUGCUUCAACUGCUAACGACAAUUGUUUCACUAACUGUUUGAAUCAAAUAGAUCUAGGGGGCUCAUUUGAACUGGCUGGUACAAAGUUAAAUGAACUAGAUUCGUGUCCUAAGCUAAAGCCUUGUAUGGUUUCAUCUUCUCUGAUAUCACCAAAUGCAAAUUACAUCCCUUACAGUAAAGAUGGAGAACCUGUUUUCUCAGAGGAGCCGAAUAUGCCAAAGGGUUUUUCUGACCUCAGAGAUUUCAAAGUUCCUGAUGGUGAUGACCUUUGUGAAGGCCUGAACAUCAAUGAUGUUCAAUUCAGCUUCAAAACUGCCAAUGAGAUAUUUGGCGGUUCACAAGGCCAAACUAGGUACCAGUUUGAGAAGGUUGGGACAGACGGCCUAAUUAUGGACAAAACUUUACCGGUAAUCAAAUCUAAUGGUCCUAGCAAGAACAUGUUAGAGGCAUUACCAUCGGGACAAAAGGAGUGCCUGUCUUUUCCAUCCUCUCAAGUCGGUUGCUCAGCUAGUAUCAUGGCUACCAUGAUUGGCACUUCUAAUUGCAUGCUUAUGAAUCCGAGUUGUAACCAAAACAUCAAUCUAGGAUAUCCUGUUGGCCAAGUUCCUUCAAACUUAGCUCCUUCACCAUCCAACAUAACAGUGAAAAAUAGCCCUGCUGAUUUUCAAGACUGUGGAUUGCCACCAGCUUUUCUAACCGGUGACUCCCAUUUCCAAAAUUUGGAAGCUAGUUGCCCACAAGCUAGGGAUAAAGCGAAGAUAAGAUACAAUGAAAAAAAGAAAACACGAAUAUUUGGUAAGCAAAUAAGAUAUGCCUCCCGUAAGGCUAGGGCUGACACUAGGAAACGUGUGAAAGGCAGAUUUGUGAAAGCAGGCGAAGAAUAUGAUUAUGAUCCUCUCGUUGCACGGAACUUCUAAGGAGAAUUAUGGAAUCAUGCCCCUGAUCAUGAAGGGUGUCAUUUCCUUGUACACACACUCGACUGAAGCCUUCUCAAUUGUACUUACUAUUGCCGAUUUACUUGGUCUUUCUUGAUGAUGGAGAAUUGGCAGUAAACCUCCCUUAGUGUAUGAAGGAAAAAUUAUGAAGGUACACACAUCAAGAAGUCCCAGCUGGCUUUGAAGAACGUUAAAGUAAAAAACCAUUGUUGCAGAUGAAAUGAACUAUGAAGAAUGGUAAAAGGGAAAUUGCUUGAAGUAGCAGAGUCAGUAGCAGAAGCAAGUUGUUCCUCUCUUUAAGGCCUCUGAAGGAGGGAAAAAGUUUUUUUAAAAAAGGGAAGAGGAUAGUGUACCAUGUAUAUGCAGGAAGAAGAUAAUGUCGCAAUAUAAAACACUGUGAAGUUGUGAGGAAAAAAUAAAAUUAAAUGUAACCUCCCCAAAUUUUGUACUUUGAAUCAGUACAUAUGCUAUACAAUUACUUUUUUUUUUUUUUUUUUGCUUUUAACCUCCCCUUCCCAAUUGUCCAAUUCUUGUCUUAGAAUAGAAAAGGUCUGAUGAAGGAUUUUCUAGCUCCUCAACACAUCUGGUAUUGUUU